rnacentral:rRNA from 1 species
UACAGAGGUCCCGAGCGUUGUUCGGAUUCAUUGGGCGUAAAGGGUGCGUAGGCGGCGGGGCAAGUCUGAUGUGAAAUCCUGGGGCUCAACCCUGGAACUGCAUUGGAUACUGCCUUGCUAGAGUACUGGAGAGGAAACUGGAAUUUACGGUGUAGCAGUGAAAUGCGUAGAUAUCGUAAGGAAGACCAGUGGCGAAGGCGGGUCUCUGGACAGUUCCUGACACUGAGACACGAAGGCCAGGGGAGCAAACGGG